rnacentral:rRNA from 1 species
UACGGAGGGUGCAAGCGUUAUCCGGAUUCACUGGGUUUAAAGGGUGCGUAGGUGGGCAGGUAAGUCAGUGGUGAAAUCUCCGAGCUUAACUCGGAAACUGCCGUUGAUACUAUUUGUCUUGAAUAUUGUGGAGGUAAGCGGAAUAUGUCAUGUAGCGGUGAAAUGCUUAGAUAUGACAUAGAACACCAAUUGCGAAGGCAGCUUACUGGACAACUAUUGACGCUGAGGCACGAAAGCGUGGGGAUCAAACAGG